GUCAGGAUGGCCGAGCGGUCCGAGGCUCUGCAUUCAGGUUGCAGUCUCUAUGGAGGCGUGGGUUCAAAAUCCCACUCCUGACA